UACGAAGGGGGCUAGCGUUGCUCGGAGUCACUGGGCGUAAAGGGUGCGUAGGCGGGUCUUUUAAGUCAGGGGUGAAAUCCUGGAGCUCAACUCCAGAACUGCCUUUGAUACUGAGGAUCUUGAGUUCGGGAGAGGUGAGUGGAACUGCGAGUGUAGAGGUGAAAUUCGUAGAUAUUCGCAAGAACACCAGUGGCGAAGGCGGCUCACUGGCCCGAUACUGACGCUGAGGCACGAAAGCGUGGGGAGCAAACAGG
rnacentral:rRNA from 1 species